UAAGACAGUGCAAGCAAGGGGUCUGCUAGAAUUUUCAGCUGUACUGGAUAUGAACAAUGAUGGGAGCUGGACAUAACAGAGGCUCAUUUACAUAAUGCAGCAGAUGCCAAUUAAUCUAAGUUAGCAUCUGAUUGACACCCAAGGCAUCAUGAACCCAAAGAGGUAGAGACCCAGAGCCACGGGCUGGUGUCCAGCUUCCUGCGGCUGAGGGACCAAGGUACCUUGGGAUGGUUCUCUUCACUCCCUGGCACUUUCUGGCUCAAGAGUUGUCACAGAGCGCUGUCCUGCAAAUCACUGAAGAAAAAAAAAACUUUACCAAAGCCCACACAAAAUUACUUCAUUCCUGCCCAAACAGCCAA